CUUCUGCCCUGUUCUGUCACCAGAGUGGCAUUGUGACAUUCCCAGGUGACUGAAGAGCUGGCAGUAGGGGCAGGUGUCUCAGCCGGCAGCAUCCAGCCUGCUGAUGAGCACGCCAGCCACUGUCCGCUGCUUCCCAGAGAACUGCCCUCGAAAGUCUUGGAGCCCCUGGGGGGCCCGGCCGAGGAAAUGUUGAGACCGAGCUUGCAGAACAUACCCCAGGUUCACACUGGACACACUGCGGAAAAGACGCACCAACAUGUGACUUCUCCGGGGCCGCCUGGCUUCUCCUAAGCUCUGUCCGCCUUUGGCCACCAGAACGGUGAGUGUGCAAAUACACUUGCCACGGGUCCUCCUCGGGGGUGGCCACGAGAAACAGACAGACACGCCUGCCUUCUCGAUGUCCCGUCUGCAAGCGGCUGCUUUUGAGAUGCUCCAUCCAUCCUCCUGCCUGCAUCCCGGCCUGGGCCGCCCUGAGGGCCCACCUCCCGAGUGCUCCUGGUGUGCAGCUGUUGGGGGACCCGGCCCAGCACCCACUGGUGGUGGUGUCGAUUCAGCACGGCCCUUGGACAUGUGGCAUGUCUGGGGGCCCAGCCUAAAGCCGUCCCCGUCACCUCCUUGUGGGAAGCCAGCCACCACCAUUCUGGCCUGAACCCCCAGCCUGGAGACGGCCCCUCGGCCAGCCCAUCCUCAGGAGCAGCCAGCUCCACUGGGACCUCUGGGAAUGCUGAGAGCCCACCCCCACCGCAGUGUGCCCUUGCCCUCCCUGCAGGCUGCCAGGGGCACGCCCCCUGUGCCAUGGACUGAGACCCUCUGGGUGACAGUGACCUGUUGGUUGGAAAUGCCUCUUGUUACGAGAGAAGCUCCCGGGCAUCUCGGAACCAAACUAUUUAGUUCCAUUGUGAACUGCCCACAGGACAACUUGUCUUAUCAACUUAUUAAGUUGGAGCACUAUAAUAGGUCUUGCUGAUUUUAGCAACGAUGUAAGUGUGUGUUAAACACAAUGUUUAAUGAGGAAGAAGGAUUAUAAAGAAGAGCGCUAUCGCACAGUAGUGAAUUUUUGUAUUAGGUGGCACAAGUGGCCUGGUGUGUGUGUCUGUCCGCAGUCUGGUCCUAACGUGCUCUUCAGUAGCCCUUGGCCGCAUGACGUGCUGUCGCUUCACCUCCAUUGUGCACACAGCCCCGUCUGUAGUGCUCUCGUCUCCACCACUCGUAGACCAGCCUGGGUUUGGACCAGGACCUCCCCAUGUCUGUUGUGCUCUGUUACCCUGCAGUUGAAUCUUAAUAAACCUUUCCUUACCAGAUGA
rnacentral:lncRNA from 1 species